rnacentral:misc_RNA from 1 species
GUGAAUCAUCGAAUUUUUGAACGCAAAUUGCACUCUCUUCGGAGAGUAUGCCUGUUUGAGGGUCAGCCUAAAAAAAAAUCGACAUAGUCGCUUUUUCGCGGUGACAUUCUUCGGAAAUUGGGUCAUCUUAAGCCUUUGGGUUUUAAGGGGUUUAAAUUUUCUUUUACGUUUCUACGCACUUUUCUAAUAUUUUCUUUUACACCUUUUA